rnacentral:rRNA from 1 species
UACGAAGGGUGCAAGCGUUACUCGGAAUUACUGGGCGUAAAGCGUGCGUAGGUGGUUCGUUAAGUCUGUCGUGAAAGCCCCGGGCUCAACCUGGGAAUGGCGAUGGAUACUGGCGGGCUAGAGUGCGGUAGAGGAGAGUGGAAUUCCCGGUGUAGCAGUGAAAUGCGUAGAUAUCAGGAGGAACGCCGGUGGUGUAGACGGCUCUCUGGACCGUAACUGACGCUGAGACACGAAAGCGUGGGUAGCAAACAGG